CAGUCAUACCAACGGGAAAUCAACCUUUUGAGCUUGGUCUCGUGGGUUUUGAAGAGUUUCAAAGCCUUCGGAUUCGCGGGAUUGGGAUCUCUUGGUGUACUUUUUCGUACGGUUAGUCAACAUCGGUUUUAAAUGUCAUAAAAUGGCUGGAGGAAUGUAGCUUCGAUCUCGUAUUGAAGUGUUAUAGCCUUUGGUAGACGUGAUGUUUGAGACCGAGGAUUGCAACGGAUACCCUUUAGGGCUAUUCGUCUGAUCUCUGAUACGUUGCCUUGAUGUCGAAAGCUU
rnacentral:rRNA from 1 species